GUUCGGGACUGAAGUUCUUCCGGUUUCGAGGCUUUAAAUCUGAGGACCACAGAGUUUCUCGUCCAUUUGCCUGGAGUCUCGAUAAAGUUUCGGAAGUGUGGCUCUGCCAGAAUACGCGGUGUCCGAGUGAACUGAUAAUCCCACCCAAUCAGUUAAGUUCAAAAGUACCUUUGUGCAAAGAAGCUAGUGAUCAGAAAGCCGUGCGACGGCUUUCUGUGUCCGAUUUAGGAACCACUCGCCCCACCGUAGCUGCAUCCUCCGUCGAGCCUCCGUUGAGUGCAAAUAUCCCGGCCUUCCGUCACCAAAAGGCCAUCGUGGACGGUAUCGUGCCCGAGCGACAUUCCGGCGGCAAUCAUCACGUGGACAUCGACGUCGGAGAAUCGCCUUCCGUGCGGUUUCGCCCUGCUAGGUGGCUAGAUCAGCAUCAGCAGUGAGCAUCGUCGAGUUUCAACCGUUUUCCCUCCACGCCGUCCGAUCAUCUACCAACAGCAUGAGGUAGCCGAUCACCAAAGCCAGCAAAGUCGAUCGCAAAAUCUAACAGGCCUGUAAGUACAAAGAGCUCAUUUUUUUCCUCCCGUCCGUGUGCACAUGUGACAACGAUCCGAGAUCGUUAAUGAAAGGCCCAUCUCGAUAGAUGCCGGCCC